rnacentral:rRNA from 1 species
UGACCUCGGAUCAAGUAGGUAUACCCGCUGAACUUAAACUUAUUUAUAAUCGUAUUA